GACGAACGCUGGCGGCGUGCUUAACACAUGCAAGUCGAACGAAGUGGCGAACGGGUGAGUAACGCGUAAUCAACCUGCCCUUCAGAGGGGGACAACAGUUGGAAACGACUGCUAAUACCGCAUACUGAAGGAGGGGAUUGCGUCUGAUUAGCUAGUUGGAGGGGUAACGGCCCACCAAGGCGAUGAUCAGUAGCCGGUCUGGGAGGAUGAAGGGCCAAAUUGGGCCGGAGACACGGCCCAGACCCCUAGGGGAGGCAGCGGGGGGGAAUCUCCCGCAAUGGAGGAAAGUGUGAGGGAGCAACGCGGGGUGAGGGAGGCCGGCCUUGGGGUUGUAAAGCCUUUUUAACCGGGAGGCGUUACCGAAAUGGAAAGCCACGGCUAACUCCGUGCCAGCAGCGGCGUUAAUAC
rnacentral:rRNA from 1 species